rnacentral:rRNA from 1 species
GACGAACGCUGGCGGCGCGCCUAACACAUGCAAGUCGAACGAGCGAGCGAGAGCUUGCUUUCUCGAGCGAGUGGCGAACGGGUGAGUAACGCGUGAGGAACCUGCCUCAAAGAGGGGGACAACAGUUGGGAACGACUGCUAAUACCGCAUAAGCCCACGACCCGGCAUCGGGUCGAGGGAAAAGGAGCAAUCCGCUUUGAGAUGGCCUCGCGUCCGAUUAGCUAGUUGGUGAGGUAACGGCCCACCAAGGCGACGAUCGGUAGCCGGACUGAGAGGUUGAACGGCCACAUUGGGACUGAGACACGGCCCAGACUCCUACGGGAGGCAGCAGUGGGGAAUAUUGCACAAUGGGGGAAACCCUGAUGCAGCGACGCCGCGUGGAGGAAGAAGGUCUUCGGAUUGGAAACUCCUGUUGUUGAGGAAGAUAAUGACGGUACUCAACAAGGAAGUGACGGCUAACUACGUG